AAAGCCCACAAAUACUAUUUUCAAGCAGCUCAACAUAUAAAGAUAAAUAUCAUUAUGCUCCUAAACAAAAAGAUCUUAUAAUAUAGAUACUUAGAUUAACCAUAUUACAACAUUUUCAAAGUUUCUAGUUGGAAUCCAAGUAAAAGCUUGACAGAGUUAUAUUUCUUUCCCUUUCUGUCACACAAAGCAACAGACCGAAAUCCAUGUCUUAGCUCUGAUACUGGCAAACAAGUCUGUCCAGCAAAAUCAUCUUUUGUCUGAUCUUUAUCCUUUACUUCGAUCCGGAGCAACGCGAGCUCCGGAACUGUCAAACGGAACUCAAACUCUUCGUCCCAAAUGGGAUUCCAAUUGUCCAUCUUUACACUUGUUUUCUUCUUGGCACAAUCAGCUCUCACUCCAGCAAUAGAAACCUGUCACAUAGUUUUGUAUAUGAUCAGACAGUAACAUAAGCACACAUGAUCUUCCAAAUGAAUUUACAGUACUGUAACUUUUCAAUGUGUCACAUAUUAAAUCUCUUUCAUGAUUAUGGUAUAUUAAGGGGUUAAAGAUUCAUGUAGUCUGCUAUCAAAUUGGUGAAUUUUAAUCUUAAUGUGGUAUAAUGAGUCCAUGUCAAAUUCUAGUUUGAUUUAUCUCUCUUUGUAAUUGAGUUUGAGUAGUUUUUUUAUUACCUUUGUGUAAAAGUCUGGUGGAGAGAAUCGAUCGAAGUGCGUUGGAC
rnacentral:lncRNA from 1 species